rnacentral:rRNA from 1 species
UAGGGAAUCUUCGGCAAUGGGACGAAAGGUCUGGCCGAGCAACGCCGCGUGAGUGAAGAAGGUUUUCGGAUCGUAAAACUCUGUUGGUAGAGAAGAACGUUGGUGAGAGUGGAAAGCUCAUCAAGUGACGGUAACUACCCAGAAAGGGACGGCUAACUACGUGCUAG